GGAAGGCUGCCAGAGCGGACGAAUGGGACGGCCUCGAAAGCCGUUGAAGUCUUCGGGCUUCCGUGGGUUCGAAUCCCACGCCUUCCGCCA
rnacentral:tRNA from 2 species